ACAUGCAGUCGAGCGAGGANUUCGGUCCUUAGCGGCGGANGGGUGAGUAACGNNNNNNNANCGUACCCGGUACUACGGAAUAGCCUCGGGAAACUGAGAUUAAUACCGUAUACGCCCUUCGGGGGAAAGAUUUAUUCGGUAUCGGAUCGGCCCGCGUUGGAUUAGGUAGUUGGUGGGGUAAUGGCCUACCAAGCCGACGAUCCAUAGCUGGUUUGAGAGGAUGAUCAGCCACACUGGGACUGAGACACGGCCCAGACUCCUACGGGAGGCAGCAGUGGGGAAUCUUAGACAAUGGGGGAAACCCUGAUCUAGCCAUGCCGCGUGAGUGACGAAGGCCCUAGGGUCGUAAAGCUCUUUCACCAGGGAAGAUAAUGACGGUACCUGGAGAAGAAACCCCGGCUAACUCCGUGCCAGCAGCCGCGGUAAUACGGAGGGGGUUAGCGUUGUUCGGAAUUACUGGGCGUAAAGCGCACGUAGGCGGACUGUUAAGUCGGGGGGUGAAAUCCCGGGGCUCAACCCCGGAACUGCCUCCGGUACUGGCAGUCUAGAGUUCUGGAGAGGUGAGUGGAAUUCCGAGUGUAGAGGUGAAAUUCGCAGAUAUUCGGAGGAACACCAGUGGCGAAGGCGGCUCACUGGCCAGACACUGACGCUGAGGUGCGAAAGCGUGNNNAGCAAACAGGAUUAGAUACCCNGNNNGUCCNCGCCCUAAA
rnacentral:rRNA from 1 species